GGUAAACGAGAGAAGAUAGUUUCCGGAAAGAUAGUUCAAGAUAAAAAUAUACCAGAAAUCGGAAACUGUAUUUUCUAUGCAAAGUUCUAAAGCUGCUUGUUAAACGACGAACUGGAAAGGGGAACGGUGACCUAAAGAGAGAGACGUUUUUAACGGCGAUGUCAACCGAAUUAGACAAAGCGAUGAAAGAUUAUGAGGCGGCGUGUGCAAACCUUCGGGAGGAGGUUGCGGGGCUGAUGGAGAGACUUCACACAUUGACGCAUUAUCAGAGGAGCCUUCUGACAACCAACUCACUACUGGUGUCCUGGCUGCAGAACGCAGAAGCACUUUGGAAGCACAGGAAAGAGAGUCACCUGGUUUCUGACUCCUAACACACACAACCUGUUGUGACAGAGUGGUGGGGCAGCUGCAGUGUUUGCAGAAUGUACCAUGAGACUUUCAGCCCACAUACACAGGGCCCGAUGCUCUCUCCCAGAUCACUGACAAACUCUGCAUGCAGAUCUACUUUGCCUUGAGCACUUGUGUUGAAAGCACAUUA